rnacentral:rRNA from 1 species
CCUACGGGUGGCAGCAGUCGAGAAUCAUUCACAAUGGAGGAAACCCUGAUGGUGCGACGCCGCGUGGGGGAAUGAAGGUCUUCGGAUUGUAAACCUCUGUCAUGUGGGAGCAAAUUAAAAAGAUAGUACCACAAGAGGAAGAGACGGCUAACUCUGUGCCAGCAGCCGCGGUAAUACAGCGGUCUCAAGCGUUGUUCGGAAUCACUGGGCUUAAAGCGUGCGUAGGCUGUUUCGUAAGUCGUGUGUGAAAGGUGCGGGCUCAACCCGCGGAGGGCAACUGAUACUGGGAGACUUGAGUAAAGUAGAGGUGACCGGAAUUCGCGGUGUAGCAGUGAAAUGCGUAGAUAUCGAGAGGAACACUCGUGGCGAAGGCAGGUUCCUGGACAUUAACUGACGCUGAGGCACGAAGGCCAGGGGAGCGAAAGGGAUUAGAUACCCUAGUAGUC